GCCUAGUUAGCUUAGUUGGUAGUGCGUCUGCCUUGUAAGCCCUAGGCCGCGGGUUCGAUUCCCGCCCGGAGCG
rnacentral:tRNA from 1 species